CGCAAUGGACGAAAGUCUGACGCAGCGACGCCGCGUGUGGGAUGACGGUCUUCGGAUUGUAAACCACUGUCGGGAGGGACGAAUACGCCGCAAGGCGUGACGGUACCUCCAAAGGAAGCACCGGCUAACUCCGUGCCAGCAGCCGCGGUAAUACGGAGGGUGCGAGCGUUGUCCGGAAUCACUGGGCGUAAAGGGCGCGU
rnacentral:rRNA from 1 species